rnacentral:lncRNA from 1 species
GACCAGCCUGGCCAACAUGGCAAAACCCUGUCUCUACUAAAAAUACAGAAGUUAGCUGGGUGUGGUGGUGCAUUCUGUAAUCUCAGCUACUUGGGAGGCUGAGGCACAAGAAUUGCUUGAAUCCGGGAGGCAGAGGUUUCAGUGAGCCAAGAUCAUGCCACUGCACUCCAGCCUGCGUGACAAGAGUGAGACUCUGUCUCAAAAAAAAAAAAAAAUAAGAAAAUUCGCUGGCUUUGGUGGCACACACCUAUAGUCCCAACUACUCAGGAAGGAUCGUUUGAGUGACAGAGGCCCUUUCUCAGAAAAACAACAAAAAAUGCUGAAAACAAACAAAAAACAACAACAACAAAAAAUAGGCCAGGUGUGGUGGCCCACACCUGUAAUCACAGCACUUGGGGAGGCCAAGGCAGGCAGAUCACUUGAGUCCAGGAGUUGUAGACCAGCCUGGGCAAUAUGGUGAAACCCCAUCUCUACAAAAAAAAAAAAUACAAAAAAUACAAAAUACAAAAAUUACAAAAUACAAAAAAAUUAGCUGGGUAUGGUGGCACGUGUCUGUAGUCCAGCUACGUGGGAGGCUGAGGCAUGAGAAUUGCUUGAACCAGGGAGGUGGAGGUUGUAGUGAGCCAAGAUUGUGUCACUACACUCCAGCCUGGCGACAGAGCGAGAGACCCCAUCUCAAAAAACAAAAACAGGCCGGGCGCGGUGUCUCAUGCCUGUAAUCCCAGCACUUUGGGCGGCCAAGGCAGGCGGAUCAUGAGGUUAAGAGAUUGAGACCAUCCUGGCCAACAUGGUGAAACCCCGUCUCUACUAAAAAUACAAAAAUUAGCUGGGCGUGGUGGUGCAUGCCUGUAGUCCCAGCUACUUGGGAGGCU